rnacentral:rRNA from 1 species
AGCGAACGUUUGCGGCGGGCUUAACACAUGCAAGUCGAACGAGAAUCCCUUCGGGGAGGAAAGUGGCGCACGGGUGCGUAACACGUGGAUAACCAACCCAUUGGUUUGGGACAACACCGGGAAACUGGUGCUAAUACCAGAUGUGUCGCAGCUGUCUUCAGGCGGUUGCGAGAAAGGCCCGCAAGGGUCGCCAACGGACGGGUCCGCGUCCCAUCAGCUAGUUGGUGAGGUAAUGGCUCACCAAGGCAAAGACGGGUAGCUGGUCUGAGAGGAUGAUCAGCCACACUGGAACUGAGACACGGUCCAGACUCCUACGGGAGGCAGCAGUGGGGAAUAUUGCGCAAUGGGCGAAAGCCUGACGCAGCCACGCCGCGUGAGCGAUGAAGGUCUUCGGAUCGUAAAGCUCUGUGGGGGGAGAAGAAGAAAGCCGGUGAAGAGCCGGCCCUGACGGUAUCCCCUUAGCAAGCACCGGCUAACUCCGUGCCAGCAGCCGCGGUAAAGUG